UACGUAGGGUGCGAGCGUUGUCCGGAAUUAUUGGGCGUAAAGGGCUCGUAGGCGGUUUGUCGCGUCUGCUGUGAAAACUGGAGGCUCAACCUCCAGCCUGCAGUGGGUACGGGCAAACUAGAGUGCGGUAGGGGAGAUUGGAAUUCCUGGUGUAGCGGUGGAAUGCGCAGAUAUCAGGAGGAACACCGAUGGCGAAGGCAGAUCUCUGGGCCGUAACUGACGCUGAGGAGCGAAAGCAUGGGGAGCGAACAGG
rnacentral:rRNA from 1 species